AUUUCUUCUGUUUAUUAUGGAUCUAAAUUCUGCAAUUUUUUUAUUGGGCUUGGAAUUGAAGUGGAGCAUUGCUAACGAUGCGCCCCGAGCCCCGAGAUUCGAAUUCAAUCCACCGAUUUUCCGUUCCUCCGCCACUGCUAGUGACUGUUUGCAACCACCGAGAAUGGCGUCGACGUUGGCGUGUUCAGAGUCGCCGCCGGUUGAGAAUAUUCCCAAGCGACCGAGGUUGGUGUACGGAGUCGUCUACAUAGCCGAGAAGUGCUGGGAAAAGUUCAGGAAGGAUGCGAUGUUCGCGCUCUACACUCCCUUCAUCGUCUCUUUGGCGUCGGAGAAUCUCAAGGACGAGACGUUCAGACAGUUCGUCGCACAGGACGUUUGAGUUAGUAGAAACAUACGUACAGGAUGAUGAUGCAAAGCAUCAGAUUAAUGAGUUGAGGAAGACUACCAUAAACUUGCAUGAUUCCUUUGUCCAGCUACAAUGUCAGGAAAGAUUGAUGGGGUCAAAGCUACUGGUAAAUUAUCAACUCCUUUUGAGAAAACCAAGUUGUCCGCUUAUACCCUAGGUGCUAUUGCAUCUUGCAUGAUGCUUUAUGCCUACAUUGGUAAGGAGCUGCAGGACCUUAUUGAUCGUAAAAGUAAUCACCGGUACAAGAAGUGGAUUGAGAAUUACUCAUCAGACAGUUUUCAGGAUUUUUCUUUGCAAACAGGGGACUUGCUGAACAAUUCCUCUCUAUGUUCUUAAUGUCUGUCGUCUACUAGGGGGUUUAAAUGGCCUAAAGGUGCAUGCAAAUGAGCUCGAAUAUGAAGAAUCUGUGUGCACGGGUGAAAUCGUGAGGAAGGUGGAGUCCCCCAUUGACAAGGUUCAAGCUUUUGGUAAAAUCAUAGAGAGCUGCGGAAAAGGGAAUGAUAAGAAGAAACUACUGAGUGUAUACAUCGGAGGGCAUUCAGUAAAUGACUUGCUUUGUUUGGUUGAAGCAGAUGUAGGCAUCGUGGUAGAUCCAAGCCCAAGUGUGAUAAAAGUGGGGAGGCAUUUUGGCAUCGGAUUUAUUCCACUGUUUCAUGGUGUGGUUGAUAAGCAGAAAGAAUGUGUCGAGGUCGAGGGAGCAGACACUUCUUCUUCUACUUGGAAAGCAGGGGGGUUGUCCGGCAUUCUUUACACAGCCUCAAGCUGGGUUGAGAUUCACGCUUUUAUCAUUGGCUCUUAGAAUCAUCACUUCCUUUAUUUUUUGA